rnacentral:rRNA from 1 species
CCUACGGGGUGCUGCAGUCGAGAAUCAUUCACAAUGGGGGAAACCCUGAUGGUGCGACGCAGCGUGGGGGAAUGAAGGUCUUCGGAUUGUAAACCCCUGUCAUGUGGGAGCAAAAUAAAAAGAUAGUACGACACGAGGAAGAAACGGCUAACUAUGUGCCAGCAGCCGCGGUAAUACAGAGGUCUCAAGCGUGGUUCGGAAUCACUGGGCGUAAAGGGUGCGUAGGGUGUUUCGUAAGUCGUGUUUGAAAGGCGCGGGCUCAACCCGCGGACGGCACAUGUUACUGCGAGACUAGAGUACUGUAGGGGGAACCGGAAUUCUCGGUGUAGCAGUGAAAUGCGUAGAUAUCGAGAGGAACACUCGUGGCGAAGGCGGGUUCCUGGACAUUAACUGACGCUGAGGCACGAAGGCCAGGGGAGCGAAAGGGAUUAGAUACCCCGGUAGUC